rfam:Daphnia magna strain Xinb3 contig36777, whole genome shotgun sequence.
GUGGGUAUAGCUCAGUGGUAGAGCAUUUGACUGCAGAUCGAAAUGUCCCUAGUUCAAACCUGGGUGCCCCCU